CUGUGUGCAUUCAGACGACACAUCAGGACACGAGCCAGAUUAGUACCAUCACAAGUUGGUUAUGUUUGAAUUGUUCCAUAUAUUUCAAGACACAUAUAGCGUCUUUGCUUUAGAAAAUAAUAGUUUAGAAAUACGUCAUGCAAUGGUAAAUCUGUGUGCAUUCAGACGACACAUCAGGACACGAGCCAGAUUAGUACCAUCACAAGUUGGUUAUGUUUGAAUUGUUCCAUAUAUUUCAAGACACAUAUAGCGUCUUUGCUUUAGAAAAUAAUAGUUUAGAAAUACGUUAUGCAAUGGUAAAUCUGUGUGCAUUCAGACGACACAUCAGGACACGAGCCAGAUUAGUACCAUCACAAGUUGGUUAUGUUUGAAUUGUUCCAUAUAUUUCAAGACACAUAUAGCGUCUUUGCUUUAGAAAAGAAUAGUUUAGAAAUACGUUAUGCAAUGGUAAAUCUGUGUGCAUUCAGACGACACAUCAGGACACGAGCCAGAUUAGUACCAUCACAAGUUGGUUAUGUUUGAAUUGUUCCAUAUAAUUCGAGACGCAUAUAGACGUCUUUGCUUUAGAAAAGAAUAGUUUAGAAAUACGUUAUGCAAUGGUAAAUCUGUGUGCAUUCAGACGACACAUCAGGACACGAGCCAGAUUAGUACCAUCACAAGUUGGUUAUGUUUGAAUUGUUCCAUAUAUUUCAAGACACAUAUGCGUCUUUGCUUUAGAAAAGAAUAGUUUAGAAAUACGUUAUGCAAUGGUAAAUCUGUGUGCAUUCAGACGACACAUCAGGACACGAGCCAGAUUGUUCCAUUACAAUUUUAGUUAACUUAAUCUCGAACUUAUAACUGGAUAAAUAUAAAAACAUAUACACUCAGAACAUUUUAAAUUUACUUUAUGCAAUGGUAAAUCUGUGUGCAUUCAGACGACACAUCAGGACACGAGCCAGAUUAGUACCAUCACAAGUUGGUUAUGUUUGAAUUGUUCCAUAUAUUUCAAGACACAUAUAGCGUCUUUGCUUUAGAAAAUAAUAGUUUAGAAAUACGUUAUGCAAUGGUAAAUCUGUGUGCAUUCAGACGACACAUCAGGACACGAGCCAGAUUGUUCCAUUACAAUUUUAGUUAACUUAAUCUCGAACUUAUAAUUGGAUAAAUAUAAAAACAUAUAUACACUCAGAGCAUUUUAAAUUUACUUUAUGCAAUGGUAAAUCUGUGUGCAUUCAGACGACACAUCAGGACACGAGCCAGAUUGUUCCAUUACAAUUUUAGUUAACUUAAUCUCGAACUUAUAAUUGGAUAAAUAUAAAAACAUAUACACUCAGAGCAUUUUAAAUUUACUUUAUGCAAUGGUAAAUCUGUGUGCAUUCAGACGACACAUCAGGACACGA